GGUUUGUCAUGGUGUGUUUCUCCAGAUAUUUGAACUGCCUGUAUGCUCCUAUCUGUUUCUGUUUGUGCACAGGAUUUCAAUGUCCAUGGUAAAGGGUACGGUAUCAGGGGCAGUGUCGGGGAGAAAACUUCAUGUGACAUGGAUCUCCAAGGACUGGACCUGUGUUGCUGGAAGUGUCUGCUGGGGUUAGACUGUCUCUUCCCGUUCUGCCAAAUGUUGGCGUAAGAUGGAAUAAACUUCUUCCCCAUUGCUGUUCUCCUGA